ensembl:lincRNA
CUGAGAAGAUAUGUGGAAAGGAGAAUGCACUUUCUUUCUUUCUUUUUUUUUUUUGAGACAGAGUCUCGCUCUGUUGCCCAGGGUGGAGUGCAGUUGCGCGAUCUCGGCUCACUGCAAACUCCGCCUCCCCGGUUCACGCCAUUCUCCUGCCUCAGCCUCCCGAGUAGUUGGGACUACAGGCGCCCGCCACCACUCCUGUAUUUUUAGUAGAGAUGGGGUUUCACCGUGUUAGCCAGGAUGUUCUCGAUCACCUGACCUCGUGAUCCGCCCGCCUCGGCCUCCCAAAGUGCUGAAGUGCAUUAAUCAUCGGCCAGAUGGAACACAGUGACCCAAAAGAAGGCUGGGCGUGUAUAAAGGUGUUGCAGGACUUUACCUUAGUUCGGCUAAAGACGGGGUCCUUGUCCGUCCCAUGGCCAUGAAAAUUUAGGCUCGUAGACGGUUUGAAUGGUGAGUAGGAGAGAGUAGUAUUGAUUGAAGAGGAAGAAAAGAGGCUCGAAUCAGGGACUCUCGCAAGGCGAGCCCCUGCUAGAGCGCUUCCCGCCUGCAGCUUGAAUCCCGGGUUCCACACAGGAAGAGGAGGGACCAGGCUCCUCCCUGCUCCAAAGGGCACGAACUUCUGUGUCUCCACCCCAGUGCGCAUUUCUCCUAGUGCGCAGGCUCGUUGGAGGUUUUCCGGGGACCCUUUCCAACCUGGCUGUCUCAAAGGGAAGCAGAUUAUGCAAGGCUUUGUGUUCCAGCUUAGGCUAAACCAAGAACAACUUUAUCCUAAGGUCAAGAGGAAAUAUUUGAUAGGUUCUAAAGAAGGGAGGAGGAAACUGAGACCCAGGCAGAAGAAUUUGUUCUUCAAACUGCGAAAGCAGAGCUACCCCAAUUCAUCCACACGCAUAGUAUUUCGGAGAAAAAAAGAAAACCCUAUGAUGGCAAGCAGUCAUAAGGAUGAAUGGUUUUCUACCAAGUGAACUACGUGGUCAUGGAAGUGCUGUUGAUGGUGUGGCACUACUGCCUGUUCUUCAAAGGUGAGCUAUUAUGCAAUUUACAAAAGCAGGAAGAUGGUUGUCUUAGAAAUUAGGACACCUUAGAGUUGGUUCUGGUUCAACCGUUCACUAGCAAAAUGGCCUUUCAUGAGCCAGGCAGCUUUUCUGGAACCGUUUUCUUACCUGCAAGACAUAAGGGUCUGAGGUACCUUACUCGCUGUAGCUCUAAUUCUUAGAUGACAUGACUUGAGUGCACGGGGUAUGUGUAGAGGUAGCAUAGAGUAGGGGAGCAUGGAAGAUAAAAACAGAUUUUGGAGCUGGGAAGUUCAUCUUCAAAUCUUGGCUCAGCUACAUAUUUAUUAGUUGAAUGGACACAAUCACGUAAUCUCUUUAUGCAUGUGUUUCUUCAUUUUUAAAGAGAGGGUAAAAAGGCGCAUCCCCCUAAGAUUGCUGUAAGUAAGUAUUAAACAUAAAAACAUAAGGAAAGAUAGAACAAGCAUGACACACUUACUAGCAGAUUUUGCAAACUAAAAAUGGCAAUUUAAUUUCCUUUGAUAUUUAAUUAUUUUCAAGUAAAUGUUUGAAAACCAUUUAUUUGUGGAUGACAAAGAAAUAAAACAGUGUUACACCUUCAGUUGAAAGAAUUCUAGAAUGUAAUUAGAAAUUCUGGAUUUUAAUCCUGCUGUGUGGAUGACAAUAAAAAUACAAUUUAUCAAAAUUUGUGCAGUGAAACUAAAGUUGUUUCAGAGUGCAGUUUAUGGUAUAUAUAUAUACACACACACACACAUACACAUAUGUAUACAUUUUUUAAAAAAGAAAGACUAGAAAUUAAUUACUUAAAAAUCAAAAUCAAGAUAUUAGGAAAAUGACAGUGUAGUAAAGCCAAAGAAAAUUAAAGGUCAGUAAAUCAU